AGUGAACGCUGGCGGCAGGCCUAACACAUGCAAGUCGAACGGCAGCACAAGAGAGCUUGCUCUCUGUGUGGCGAGUGGCGGACGGGUGAGGAAUGCAUCGGAAUCUGCCCAUUUGUGGGGGAUAACCUCGGGAAACCGGGACUAAUACCUCAUACGACCUACGGGUGAAAGCAGGGGAUCUUCGGACCUUGCGCAGAUGUAUGCGCCGAUGCCGUCUUAGUUAGUUGGAGGGGUAAAGGCCCACCAAGGGGACGAUCCGUAGCUGGUCUGAGAGGAUGAUAAGCCACACGGGGACUGAGACAGGGCCCAGACGCCUGCGGGAGGCAGCAGUGGGGAAUAUUGGACAGUGGGCGCAAGCCUGAUCCAGCGAUGCCGCGUGUGUGAAAAAGACCUUCGGGUUGUAAAGAACGUUUGUUGGGAAAGAAAAGCAGCCGGUUAAGACCCGGUUGUCAUGACGGUACCCAAAGAAUAAGCACCGGCCAACUUCGUG
rnacentral:rRNA from 1 species